GACGAACGCUGGCGGCGUGCCUAAUACAUGCAAGUCGAACGCACUCUCGUUUAGAUUGACGGAGUUUGCUCCUGAUUGAUAAACAUUUGAGUGAGUGGCUGACGGGUGAGUAACACGUGGGUAACCUGCCCUAAAGUGGGGGAUAACAUUUGGAAACAGAUGCUAAUACCGCAUAAAACCUAACACCGCAUGGUGUAGGGUUGAAAGAUGGUUUCGGCUAUCACUUUAGGAUGGACCCGCGGUGCAUUAGUUAGUUGGUGAGGUAAAGGCUCACCAAGACCGUGAUGCAUAGCCGACCUGAGAGGGUAAUCGGCCACACUGGGACUGAGACACGGCCCAGACUCCUACGGGAGGCAGCAGUAGGGAAUCUUCCACAAUGGACGAAAGUCUGAUGGAGCAACGCCGCGUGAGUGAAGAAGGUUUUCGGAUCGUAAAACUCUGUUGUUGGAGAAGAAUGUAUCUGAUAGUAACUGAUCAGGUAGUGACGGUAUCCAACCAGAAAGCCACGGCUAACUACGUG
rnacentral:rRNA from 1 species